rnacentral:rRNA from 1 species
CCAAUCGCGUAUAUUAAAGUUGUUGCAGUUAAAAAGCUCGUAGUUGAAUUUCGGGGUCAGUAGGUUGGUCAUGCCACUGGUAUGUACUGGCUUCACUGAUUCCUCCUUCCUGAUGAGCCGUAAUGCCAUUAAUUUGGUGUUGCGAGGAAUCUGGACUGUUACUUUGAAAAAAUUAGAGUGUUUAAAGCAGGCUAACGCUUGAAUACAUUAGCAUGGAAUAAUGAAAUAGGACGUUCGAUCUUAUUUUGUUGGUUUCUAAGAUUGACGUAAUGAUUAAUAGGGAUAGUUGGGGGCAUUAGUAUUCAAUUGUCAGAGGUGAAAUUCUUGGAUUUAUUGAAGACUAACUACUGCGAAAGCAUUUGCCAAGGAUGUUUUCAUUAAUCAAGAACGAAAGUUAGGGGAUCGAAGACGAUCAGAUACCGUCGUAGUCUUAACCAUAAACUAUGCCGACUAGGGAUCGGAUGAUGUUAAUUUUUUAAUGACUCAUUCGGCGCCUUACG